AAUUAACCGUUUCGAAAAUGCAGUCGCGCUAAUUAACCGAGUUCUAUCGAUUAAUGUUCCCAUUAUUUACCGCGAACGAGCUCUCGUGCGUGGCAAUCGGUAUUUGCUAUCGAGGGGGAAAAAAUAGUAGAGAUCGAAUAAACGCUAUUUUUCGGCGGGGGGAGAAAAAAAAGGAGAUUCGAGCGACGAGUUAAUAUUUAAUUUGUGAAAAUGAAAGAGGAGUGCUAUGCUCGAGUACGCACACGAAGUAGGCACACGAUGAAAUUUCGCGAUUAACGACGUCACAUUUUCGAACAAAAGUUUAAUUUAAUCCCUCGUCCGAAACAUUUUUCGCUUCAAAUGGGAAAAUUAGGUGAGACGUUCGCGUGUAUAAAAAGUGAUUUCACUCGACACGAUGAAAAUACGUUUAACGCUUUGCAAAUAUUAAUUCUCUUAAUAAAAAUCUCGAGUAAACCGGGAGUUGGUUUUCGAUUUUCACGCCGCGUAUUCAUUCGCGGUUACCGGGAUGCAAUUAACGAAAUCGGGAGAAUUAAAUCAACGAUCGGAAAUGCAAUUAUAUCGGAAUCGUGUUUCUUCGAUACUCGAGAGCAUUAAGAGAAACGUUCACUAUCGUAUUAUAAUAUGUAUGUUCGUGUUAUCGGUAAUGUAUGUCGCCUAGACAGUAUAAUUAUUGAAAAUGACAGUGAUAGUAAAAAUAAUUGUUAAUUAUAUUGGCAAUUAUAUACAAAAUUAUCAUGAUUUAUUCCUAGUUUAAUAAAAAUACGUAAACAAAUAUAGACAUGGUCAAAUUUAAUAGCUAUUCGUUUCGUUAAUUGAAGCAACUUUAAAUUUUCAAUUAGUUGCUUUUUCGAUGGAUUAAUGAUUACGAAACAUUGGAUCAAUUGGUUACGAAAUAAAAAAGAAUAAAGAAUGUUAUUGUAUCGUGGGUCAAGUGCGUCAACUUUUAAAACGUUUUAAUUCGAAAAACAAGCGUGACAAAUCUGUUCAACGGUUCGUGAUCAGGUUGCAAAGCGACGGAUUCAAAAAACAAGAGGGAAAUACUUUGGGAAAAAGAAUUCCUUUUGGAAAUUCCUCGCGUUUCUUCGACUCGGUAAACGGUGAAAUUCGAUAUUCAGGAUUUCACGAAAGACACGUAGACGUUGAUAACUAGAGGGAAAGCAACGAUUUCAACGUUUCAAUUCGACCGAAUCAAUUUCGACGAAUAACGUGUAUUUUAGAAACGGAAUCUUUUUCUCAUUUUUCCGAAUCUUAAGAACAAAUAACGGCUUUACGUGUAAUUCUAAAAAUCCCGGUUAUACGUGUCAUCCAAUGUCUCUUUCUUAUCAAAUGUCUUUAUCUUUUUUCACCAAUGUUGUAAUCGAAUCGUUUAAGAAAAAUAUAUCACGUUUGUUUAAACAAUCGAAUUAUUUAUCAUUUCCUUUUACUAAACUUGCAUAAACUUUCGUGGAACAAUCAAACUAAUAAAAAAUAAUAAUCACACCGAUCAAUCUCUCUUCGACAAUCAUCUGUCUAAAUUCGAAACAAUUGCGCAUCUAAUUCCAAAGUUGGUGUCGUGGUGUCGCUGGUGUAUGCAUGGCGGAUCGACGAAACGGUUGACAAUUGUAGAAAUAUAAAGGAGAAGAGUGAAAGAGAGGGUAAAGACGAGACGAUCGCGUUGAAAAUGGCGGGCUAAGUGGUAUUGUUCUCUGGAUGGAAACGUAGGAGGAUUUUUACCUUCUCGUUCUUGUACCGUCUAACGACCCUUUCGAGCUGUCGCCGUAGGAGGAGGUUUUUGAAGCGAAGAAACAGAAGAAGAAAAGAGAGGAAAAAAAGAGUAGAAAAUAAGAAGAGAAUAGGAUAGAAGAAAGGAAGCCGAGAGUCGAAACAGAAAGAUGAGAAAAAUUGUAACGAAAGUUGUAACGAGAAAUUAAUUAUACGAGGAGAGAUAUAUACGUACGAAAGUAAUGUAAAGAAAAAAGGAGAAUUGAAAGAAAUAUUAAAGGUGAGGUUAAGUGUUAAGCCAUUACACUUUUUCUUCUCUUAGAUAGAUUAGAAGAAGGAGAAUAGUCGAAGAUAGAAAAGAAAGAAAUUGUUGAGGAUCCUUCUUCUAUUUAAGGAGUCGAAUUUUUUUCUUUCUUUAAAAAGAUGAGAAAAAUUAUGUGAGAAAUUAAUUAUACCAGGAGAAAUAUAUAUAUGUAUGAAAAUAAUACGUAGAAAAAAGGAAAUUAAAAAAAAAAUUAAAGCUCGGAUUUAUCAAUUUUGCACGUAACUUGGAUUUCUCUCCAAUUUCUCACCCAUGGAUCGAUGAAACGGAGCUUGCUUAAAUUUUUAAUCGAUUGUGGUAAAUCGAAAACGAAUUCGGCUAUGGAUUUGGACGUUUCUAUUUCAAUGGGGACAGUAUUUUCAGCAGUUUAACUUUCCUUGGCGGCAAUUUACGAGCGAGUUUUCCUCCAAACUCUCAAUAACAGUUACUCUAGAGGCUAUAUAAUAGAUAUUACAAUAGCGAUGGCCACUUGACGAGUCACGCUUGCUCCAGCCAGGGUUGCCCAUUAACCCGUUGAAAAAGUAACUGGUUAUAAAAAUUUUAUUCGUAGCUGAUCCGCUCAUCAGAUAAUAACCUUGGAAUUACAGUUAUCCGAGUUUAUUCGAUGUUUUGAAUAAUAAAUUAUAUUGAAGUAAGUUUUACUCAUAACUAUUAAAUUUCCCCCAUCAACAGUGUCAAUUGUCUUGCAUCGAGCGUCUUGCAAUAAAAUUUCUUCAAGUAAUCGACCAAUCAAUUUUAUACGAUUGUUAAAAAUUUCGCCUCGUCAUCUCUGAACAACGAAAGAGAAAAUGAUCGCAAGGACGAUUGUCAUUCAUGGCGGGAGCCCAUCUCUCUGCAAAUCCAUCCUCUUAAUUCAUGUCCAAGACGAUUACUAGAGGGAGAG